GCCAGUAGCAUCAGCACUCGACCCUUUGUGACAUACCUGCAACUGUUGCUUCGGCGGGUAGGCCGUCCCCUGAAAAGGACGCCUCCCGGCCCGGACCGGACCCCCCGCGGGACCGGACCCGGCGCCCGCCGGAGGAUAACCAAACUCUAUUGUAACGACGUUUCUUCUGAGUGGCAUAAGCAAAAUAAUCAAAACUUUUAACAACGGAUCUCUUGGUUCUGGCAUCGAUGAAGAACGCAGCGAAAUGCGAUAAGUAAUGUGAAUUGCAGAAUUCAGUGAAUCAUCGAAUCUUUGAACGCACAUUGCGCCCGCCAGCAUUCUGGCGGGCAUGCCUGUUCGAGCGUCAUUUCAACCCUCAAGCUCUGCUUGGUGUUGGGGCUCUACGGUCGACGUAGGCCCUCAAAGGUAGUGGCGGACCCUCCCGGAGCCUCCUUUGCGUAGUAACAUUUCGUCUCGCACUGGGAUCCGGAGGGACUCUUGCCGUAAAACCCCCCAAUUUUCCAAAGGUUGACCUCGGAUCAGGUAGGAAUACCCGCUGAACUUAAGCAUAUCAAUAAGCGGAGGA
rnacentral:rRNA from 1 species